GCACAGGAGAGAGUUCGUUGGAGAGUUAGUUGGGGAGUUCGUUAGAGAGUUUGUCAGUUCGUCCGCUCCUUUUUUCUUACUGUAAUAAAAACUCUACCGAAGAGGGAUCAACAGCGUCCGGUGUGGCUCCUCGGCGGGCGGGGGAGCAACAUUUCUUGUCUGCUGGUUAACUUCACAAAUGCUUACAACAUCCAAGACUAGACCAGGCUAAAGCCAGGAUCCAGGAACUUGGUCUGAGUCUUCCAUGUGGUGGUAGGAACCCAACUACUUGAGCCAGCACCUGCUGCCACCAAAGGUGUACAUAACCAGGAAGCUGGAAUAAGAAGUGGAAUUGCUUCUCCAUCCCACACAUCUGAUAUUGGGCUGUGAAUAACCCAAGUAGCAUCUUUACCACUAUGCCAAAGGCCAGCAUAUCAAAGUGAUUAUGUCUGCAAUGGUUGGAGCUGCACUGAUCAGAUGCCAGGAGCCCAGAGCUUCUUCUAGGUCUCCCACAUGGGUGAAGCGGAUUUGGGCCAUCUUCUACUGCUUUCCCAGGCCAUAGCAGAGAGCUGAAUCAGAAGUGGAACAGCUAGGUCUUGAACUGUUGUCCAUAUGGAUGCUGGUACUGCAGGCAGUGAAUUUAUCAGGCAGAGCAACAAGGAGAGAGAGGGAGAAGGAAAAUUUCCACCCAAUGGUUCAUUUACCAAAUCAAGAGUCAAGUUCUGCCAGUGUCCUUAUGAAGACCUUUGAACACAAUCGGAAGGGAAAGAGACUUGAAUUAUUGGAUGAGUGGAAAAGACCAGCAGAGAAGAAACAUAAAAGAAAUAGAGGAAAGAAAGUCAGUAAUGGAACAAGUUCCCAGAGGAAAUAAGAAAAUAGGGAUUAGCCAUCUUCUCCUUAAUGUCUCCAUGUGCACUCAGGGAAUUAUUUUCUAGUGUCUAUUACCCUCAGUUUUUUUGUUUACGUGUGGGUCUUCUUUGCAGACUAUAAAUUGUUUGAGAUGUGGAACACUGAACUAACAGCAUCUUCAAGAAUAUCUGAGGUAUAACAGGCUGUCAGGUGCCAAGUGAGUGAAAUACUGAACUUAAGAAAUGUAAAAUUCUUUCCAUCCUGGAAAAGGCUCUGCAGUGUCUCUUGCUUAGUGCUUCAAAUGUAUACCAUUACUCGCUCUUUUAGACUAGAGUCUUGAUAACCUGAGUUAAGAACCAUUGCCAGGACAUUGUAAAGUACCAUGCUAUUUCAGCUAUUUCUACCUCUGCAUAAACUCUUUUGACUGAUUAGCCAAUCAAUCGCCAAAAAGACUCAGAGAAUGUAAACCUAGGUAGUUUAUCACCAUUUGGUGAGUUUGAGCCAAGGGAAGAUAAAACUAGGAGAACAGGGGGUCUUUUUUCUGGGAAGCAACAUGGGGAGGGUCUGGAAAACUGAGUUCUAGUAGCCAAGUUGAGCAUACAUACGUGUGGUGAGCUGGGGAGGAGUCAAGGUUGAUGGAAGACAAUUGCACACAAUGUUAUGUAUGGGGUGGUCAAAGCCAGACUUUGAACCUCACAUUAUGUGAUCAAGCUAUCAUUUAGCAUGAUUUGUGUUCUCUGGCUGCUCAGAAAAUCAAAUAAUAGAAAAUGACACUUCUCAUUGGUGGACAGAGUCAUUCCAGAGAGAACACCAUUUGAUGUUUGUAGAAUAUUCUGUGAAUAUAGAAAAGUAUCCCAUAUAAUGCUCCAAUUCCUGACUAGCUAGCAGAGGCCCCUGUUUUCUGCCAUCACUCAGUUUUUUAUUUUAUUUUAUUUUUUAAAGAUUUAUUUAUUUAUUUGAAAGUCAGAGUUACAAAGAGAGAAGAGAGGCAGAGAGAGAGAGAGAGAGAGAGAGAGAGAGGUCUUCCAUCCAUUGGUUCAAUCCCCAGUUGGCCGCAACGGCUGGAGCUGCUGUCCAAAGGCAGGAGCCAGGAGCUUAUUCCAGGUCUCCCACAUGGGUGCAGGGGCCCAAGGUCUUGGGCCAUCUUCUACUGCUUUCCCAGGCUAUAGGAGAGAGCUGGAUCGGAAGUGGAGCAGCUGGGACUAGAAAUGGCACCCAUAUGGGAUGCCGGUGCUUCAGGCCAGGGCACUAACUUGCUGCACCACAGCGCUGGCCCCCAUCACUCAGUUUUUAAUCUGGCUGUUGUUCAACACCUAAAGGAUAGAUCCCUCUUUCCUCUUAUUUUACAUUGUAAUUCAACAAAUGGCUCUGCCCUGCCUUGCCUUGACUUCAAUACUAAUCCAUUAUUUUCUCCUUGAAAAUACUUAUUCUAUGAUCAACCUAUUUCUAUUUUAUCUUAAAUUCUUUCCUAAAGAUUGCUUCCACCUCCUUAUUUUAAUCUUGAAAUUAUUUCACUUCUAAAAUCACUAGUUCAAAAUCAUUGCUCUCUGAGUUCAAUUUCCUAUCUUUCCAGCUUAUUUGUUUGUAUAGUCUUCCCAUGAACAUUCAGACCUAUUCCUUUGACCCCUGUUUGUUUUGCUAUCUAUAGGCUUUUAACUUACUUUGACUUUCCUUUUUAUCCAGCUUUGAUUGUGUGACCCUUCAUUACAAUUAAGUUUACAGAAAUGCUGAAUACUUUGUCUCUCUUUUUUAAAUUACUUUUAUCAGGGACAAACUCAAACCUUUAUGAAACUAUUGCUAGGGAAAAUAUUUUGCUGGAAAAAAGUUUCACAUGAAAGUCUGAUUCCACUCAAAUUUUUGAUUAUCAAUCCCAGCUGAAUCCCAAUAUUAGUACUAGGUAAUAAUUGUACUAUGUUUAAUUAGUCAACUUCUCUCCAACUUUCACAAUAUCAAACCUAUUACAUUUUCAUUCAUCUUAAGCCUCUGCCUAAUUGCUGCUGCAAACUAUCAGCAGACAAUCUUAUUCUUCCCUUUAUAGGGAAAAUUGAAGCCAUCAUGAGAACCCCUUUGUCUUUCCAUCUUUCCAUCUAUAUCCACUUUUCCAUCUAUAACUUGUUAAAAAUGAGGAGUUAUAUAUCUUAUACUGCCAAUCACUUCAUACAUACUUAGGAAAAUAAUAUUCUUUAUAACAAACUAACUACUAAUUAGAGUGAUACUAAAAAUCUGGUGGAGAUUACAGCAAACAGACUCUGCCCGACUUCAUUCUUCCUGUUGCGCCACUGGAGGAUUGCGAGUUAGACAGAGCCAGACUUGAUGAUGUCACCACAUCCACAAGCUCUUCCAGUCAGUGUGGCCUUGGGCUCUCUGCACUAAGCUACAAGAACUUGUCCUUCACUGUUCUCUGUAAUCAUCUACAAGCAUCAGCAAAUGAACAUAAAAGGGCUGCAGGUAUGGCAUCAAGACACCAACAAAGGAACCAGCAUUGUCACAUCAUAGGUUAAGCCACUCCUAGGAAAGCAGCAGCAGAUGACCCAAGUACCUGGGCCCCUGCCACCCACAGGGAUACCCACAUAGAGUUCCAGGCUCCUGGCUUCCACCUGGCCCAGCCCUGGUUGUUGUAGCUCUUUGGGGAGUGAACCAGUGGAUGGAAGAUCUUUUUCUCUGUCUGUCACUCUGCCUUUGAAGUAAAUAAAAUAAAUCUUAAAAAAAACCCAACAAUUUAAAGAUGUUUAUUUUUUGUAAUUCGAAAUCCAAGAGUUCUCUUUUCUAUGAACUUUUUGAAGACUCCUCAUGUGCAUGGAUUUAAACACAUUUUGCACCAAAGUAAACAUCUUUUAAUUCCAUUUUCCAUGAGCCUUUUGACAUCUCAUAUGUGGCCCUUCUAGUCUCCUAUUACAGAGCUGGAAACAUUGAAUGACAGGCCCACUUCCUUAAUGUGAGAAGAAGGGAACGAGGAGAAAGAAAGGUGACAUCCAGACCCCAACCCAAACCAAACCAAAAUAAUCCUUCUGCACUGCUGAUGAGCCCACUAGACAGCAGAGGCUCUGAAUGGAAUCCACGUUCAAGGCAUCAUAGUCACUUACAUAAAGAUAAAAUGUCAAUUUUGCUCAUACAUUUUUUAAUUUUUUGUGCUUUGCAUAUUAGUUACCACAAAUCAGGGAAAAUAUAUGAUAUUUGUCUUUUUGGGACUGGUUUAUUUCACUAAGCAUGAUGGUUUCAUGUUAUAUCUGUUUUGUUGCAAAAGACAUGAUUUCAUUCCUUUUUAUGGCUGAAUUAUAGUCCAUUGUGCAUACAUACUGUGAUUGCUUUAUCCAGUCAUCAGCUGAUAUACAUCUAUAUGUUAACUACUGUGAAUUGAGCUGCUAUAAACGUGGAUACAGAUAACAUAGUUUAUUUCAUUUCCACUGGGUAAAUUCCUAGGAGUGGACUGUCUGGGUCAUAUGGUAGACCUAUUUUCAGAUUAUAUAAGCAGAAAUUUCCAAUGUAUUAUGUAUUAUGUAAUUUCCCCCCACAU